rnacentral:rRNA from 1 species
CGAACGGGUGAGUAACGCGUGAGGAACCUGCCUCAAAGAGGGGGACAACAGUUGGAAACGACUGCUAAUACCGCAUAAGCCCACGGCUCGGCAUCGAGCAGAGGGAAAAGGAGCAAUCCGCUUUGAGAUGGCCUCGCGUCCGAUUAGCUAGUUGGUGAGGUAACGGCCCACCAAGGCGACGAUCGGUAGCCGGACUGAGAGGUUGAACGGCCACAUUGGGACUGAGACACGGCCCAGACUCCUACGGGAGGCAGCAUG